rnacentral:rRNA from 1 species
CACGUAGGCACCAAGCGUUGUCCGGAUUGACUGGGCGUAAAGCGCACGCAGGCGGAUGCGCGCGUGGGGUGUGAAAUCUGGCCGCUUAACGGCCAGGCGCCAUCCCAUACGGCGCGUCUGGAGCUAUGCAGAGGUCGGUGGAAUUGCCGGUGUAGUGGUGAAAUGCGUAGAGAUCGGCAGGAACACCCAGGGGGAAACCAGCCGACUGGGCAUAUGCUGACGCUGAGGUGCGAGAGCGUGGGGAGCGAACCGG